CAUGCAGAGGGUGUCCUUUUUGCUUCUGAAACCUGCAUCACCUCUCUGAUGAACUGAUCUGUUUACACAGACUGGCUAAGAUGAGUAGGUCAAGCUCUCUGUUUAUAGACUGAAAAUUAUUUUGCCUUGAGCUGCCCAAGCAAAAGACUGGAGGUGAACUGAUUUCUUUCGAAGGACAACUUCUGUGAGUUUUGAGAAUGUCCAUGUGGCUGUUCACAUGAUGCCAGGGAGAAACUUUCUGCCACCCAAGGAAGAAAUGCCUUCUUCCAGAUCCUCACUCAUCUGCCACAGACAUACUGGUUAGCCAAGGGAGAAAAGGGUAAAGCAACAUGUUCAAGUCAAGGUCAGAGAAUUUGGUAUGAUCUAAUUGCAGGUAGUGAUGAAUAUCAUUGAAUAUAAACAAAUGGCUUAAUCAGUACAGCAUUAUACUUACCUAAUAAGGAAAAAUUCCUGUUAGUUUUUACAUCCAAUGGAAAACAACCAAGUUUUAGGAAAGAAAAUGAAACAGUUUUUCUUGAAUUAUGAAGGGCUAAAAGCACCAAACAGUUUACUGGGGAAAGAAAAAAAAAAAAAAAAAAGAUAAUGAUAUGUCUUAACAUCACUUAAGACCUGCCCUGAAAGUUGGUUGUUCAUGUCACUACUUAGAAUCAUAUAAUGAGAUAGUCCAAACUCCAUGCAAAGUAAGAUUUGCAUCAGUGUGGGAAGCUACUCAACCACCUCCCAGGGAGGCUGCCAGAAGCAGUAGAAACAGUACCCACGUGCCAGGAAAAUCUCAGCCCAGACCUCUCCUGAACUCACAGCUCUCUGCACACAUCCACUAACUCAUCUGUUAUGCUUACUGCUAGUUUGCUAGUUCAGUUUGAGAUGAAGACUAUGCAUUGUGUCCUUAGAAAUUCUGCCUUUACCCAAAAGAGAUUCAACAGUAUAGCCUGAAAUAUCUGAAACUAGCACUAAGUGCAGAAUAUUUCACGCAAUGGUAGGAGAAGAGCUUUGACAGUACAGAUACACAUACAGUUACAUAUACUGACUGGGGUAUAAGUGCAGAAUGAUAACUGUUUUAUACACUGUGAGUCUGUAGCAUUACCUCAAUUGAUGGUAGCCUUGUGGCUGUCACUGCAAAAAUUUAGCCUUCAGAUAGACCUCUGUUGACUUUUUUACUGAAAAUUAAAUAUUUGGCUAAAGAUUAAACAAAAGGAAAAGGAAGCAUAAAAAUGUAUUAAACUCCAAACAAAAUCAUGGCAACAACAGGAACUGCAGAAACAACAUCGGUUUAGAGCUGAGCUAAUCAAAGCACGUGGAUUAGCCUGACCUGUGAACAGCUGAGCUUCCACUCUAGAGGCAGUGUCUCACUCAGAUAUUGGCAUUAGAAAUUGCAAAAGUCCUGCUAUCAGAUGUGAAAGGCCCUCUACUCCUACCUCUGUGGGAUCAAGGAUGUUAACACUUAAGGGAAUGAACCUCUGGAGUGAUUGCAUUUUGGUCUUUACCUGAAGCAGAGUGAUGAGAAGAUGAGAGGUUCUCCUUGAGUUGCAAUCUGCUGUAUUCCUACUGCCUCCAGCGAUGCAAAGCAGCCACUUGGUGGCAGGGAAGGGAGAUGUUGUUGGAAACAUCCAUCUCCAGAGGAGAGCUUUCUUCCGUCUUCCCAGAAGAGGCAAUAUAGAGUUAUCAUCAUGUUUUGCAAAUGCCACGAAUACAUACAGAUCAUAAUCUUUCACUGGCUGAUGAUUAAAUUGCAUUUUGGACACAAACAACCAGGGCCAACAUCUCUCAAAAUAGAAUGGGAACCAAUAAAAGUAAUUUAAAUAUAAUGGGGCCAUAUUUUUUUUAGUGAAAAGAGAGUUACACAAGAUUUCUCCUGCAAGAGUUAUGUUGUGAUCUAAAAUACAACUUUGAUCAGAUGCUGGAGCUAUCUUUUCUACCUGUGUGACCUUUUUCUUGCAUGAUAGAGGUAAGGGAAAUCAGUAGAGAAAGAAGGAAAAUGAGUCACUAGUGCAGAAAGAAGCUCAAUUGUCAGCUGCAUCAAACUGGUUUUGAGAAGAAAACAAAACAACAGCUACUCCCAGAGAUCUAAAGAUGUAAACAACAGUAAAAUCAAAAGUACACUUAUAUAUAUCUCUUGGAAGUAUCAGAUGCACAGUAGAUAACGGCAGAAUGAGGUAUUACCUGCUCUGUGUGUUGAUGGAAACAUUCAUCUGCAAGAACCGAUGUCUUCCUGGUCUCUAAUUACAUUGAUUCUCUCGCAUGCAUAAAGUUGCAAUAUCUCUAAUUAUAUGAAUUAAUGUUUCCCCAUUGUUUCACAACUUCAGUGAGAGUACAACUCCUGAGAAUGAGAAACUGCAGGAAGAAAAUUGCAUACUUAAUUCAUCCCCCAAAUCAGAAUUGUGUUGAUAGAUACUGUUUUUCUGAUCUGCUCUGAAGUGCACAUUUGGUUAUCUUGUACAGUUUCAGAGAUCUAUGCUAUAAAAUCCCAGUUCAAAGACAGAGCCACGACUGAAAGAUUUUGUAUUAACAUUUGUAGGUUUUUUUAGUAAUGCUUUUCUAUUCUGAAGAUAUGCACGCAGCAUGUAUGUCAGUAUGUUCAGUGUUUUACAGUCUGCAGACUCCUGUAAGUUUUUCCAUGGAAUUAUGGAUACCUGCAUAGACAGCUAAAACUUUCUAUUUGGGAAUGUAUUUCUCUGAGCUCCCUUUUGCAAAUCCUGUAGUACUCCUCUGGAGAUCUGAUGGAUCUUCAAAGGUUUUCACCUCAUGUUGAAAUUCAGGCCUCACCCUUUGUAAUAAAGUAACCUCAAAAGAUUUAGGUUGAAUUUAUUUAGGCAGAAGAACUUUGAAUAUAUUCCAGAUUUUUUUGUGUCUGAAGAUUUUCUGCAGAAAGAAUAAAAAGUCAACUCUUUUUAAAUCAGCUAAUGACAGUAGAGAAAAUUUUCUCUCUCCUUUCUUUACUACAAAUUGCCACAAAAAUUAAUUCUCUUCCAUUUGCAGAUCAUGCAAGGUUACAGAGCCUGAGUUACCGUAUCUUGCACGGAUGGCUUCCAGUCAUUUUAUUUUUAGAAACUAGAACUAGAGGAAUACACCAAAUUAGACAAAGUUUCCUCCCCUAUUUAAACUUCAUGAAAAGUGCUGGACAUGUAGAUCUUAGGUUAAGCUUUGAAAGGAUUAAGAAUUAAUCCAGGCCAUUCUCAGAUCACUUUUCAAAAAUAAGAAUGAGCAGAUAUGAGUGAAUUUUAUUUUAAACACUUAAAAUGAUACCAGUUUUAACCAAUGAAAGUGAUAUGAAAUGUUGUGAGGAACAGCACCAUUCUAAAUUCUAAUUCUUCAAAAAUUAUGUGUAUAUUGAAAAUGUAUGAAUGUAUUUUGUGUUUAUACAGUUUACUGACUUCUCUCUUAGGAGAUCAUGGCUUACAUAAGGUCAGGAAGAAGUUAUUAGGGAAAGAAAUAACGUGGCCUAAAAAGAUCAAAUCACUUGACCUGAUAGAACAUUUAUGCAGCUGAGACUAGAUUUCAGCUCUCCUAGGUGAUACUGCAUGCAUGCAUUAGUCAUACUGAGGCACCAUAAUGAGAUGAAACCAUGAAUGCUGAGCUGUGAGGAUGUGUGGUUAAUUCCUAAAAUCAACUUGGAUGAAAGAGCUGAUUUAUCACAGGAAUAUGAAUACUUUUUUCUUACAGGUGUAUGGUACCCGUCUUCAUUUUAUAGUUGCUCAGAGGAACAAAUUUACUAUAUUUUGAAUUCCAUCUGUUUUCUGAUGGCUAUAAAGCUGAUGUCUGUAGUGCAGAAUUGUUUGGCUCGAUGUAAUUUGAGUACCAGAAAAGCCCUUCUUGGUUCAUGGUUCCAAAUGCUUCACAUCUUUCAAACCUCUAACGACUUUCACGUGAUCCAUCUGGAUCUCCCACCACCAUCCCUGCAGGACAACUGCAUCACAGGAUCACUCUCACAGCCUGGAUGUCUGUGUAGGCAUGGCUGGCAUCUCCUUCUCACCACUUUUCCACUAACAAUAAUAAAAUAAUAAUACUAAUACUAAUACUACUACUACUAAUAAUAAUAAUAAUAAAAGCCUUGGUAACUAGCUGGGGAGGAUAAUACAGAUCCUAACUGUCACCCCUCCUCCCAAAACAUGCAAACCAAAGCACCCAUUGAUCUGGGAGGAGCUCAUAAGGAAGCCAGAAACAAGCACAACAAAUCAUGAAAAACAUCUGCAAGUGACUUCAGCUAGAACACAUGAUUGGAAAGUAUUCUGUGUCCAAAAUAUCCCUGAGUUCAACUUUCACCAAAAUCCAAGGACCACCACCUCUGCUUCAGUGACUUGAAGCAUCCGGAGUUCACAGCUCAUGAACAUCUCAACAUGUGCAAUAAAGUCCUGCUAUCCUCUGUGUCCCUGAGGAUUUUCUGUGACAGAGGACCAGAAAUGUUGCCGGGAUAGUAGAUUUUGAAGUCUGGAUUGGUAGCAAAAGUAUUCACUGCGAUGGGAGUGGUGAUCGAGAAAACAGAACAAGUCCUUUGGUAUUUUUGUAACGUAUCAACAAAACUGGACUAACAGCAAUUUCUUUUGUUUACUCUGUUCAAAUUAAAAAAUGUCAGUCUCAGAAACAGUUGCCUGUAGCUGCUAUAAUGCAAACGCUGAAGCAGGAGAAGAGCGCAUUCCCCAAUUUGAUUUCAGUUAUUCCUUUCCAAAAAAACAUUUUUCUACAGAUUUGUGAGAAGUGCCAGAAAAAUGUAGAAGAACUUUAUUCCUGUGCUUAUUCAAGAUUAUAAAAUAUGAAAUAAAUAUAUGUAUGUGCAUACAUGUCUGUACAUAUAUGCACACAUUUAUGGAUUAUCAGGUACCCACGGUUGAUCUAUGAGCAUGGAUGUGUUCAUUUAAAUUCAGAAACAGUCAGUUAGCUUUGUCCAGACAGACCACAUGCAUCAAUGCAGAGCAGACCGAACUGAGAGCAUAUUCUAGCAAAUGAAGCCACAAGCAACCAUAUGAUGAAAGAUCCCUCUGCUUUCAUUCUGUAUCAGUGCUGAUUAUGUUGCUUCAAAAUCUUUAACAUUAGGUAACAUGAUCAUGCCGAAGACAGUAUGAAAUGUAAUGAGGUCUUAAUCUACAUGGCAGGUUAAAAGCUAAGAGAGUUUCUAAGGAUAUAUGUGGUAUAAAUGGAGUGUAAGCUAAUGUUAUUUGAUAAGAUAGGAAGAGGCCCAGCUGAACUGAAAGCAUUUUCAUACAGGCUCUAGUCUUUGGGUAGAAGUGAAACUGUUAAAACUGAAAAGCAAUAAGGAAAGAAA
ensembl:lncRNA